GAACAAUUGUUCAGUUCAGUAAUUGUUGAGAUAAACGUUCAGCAGCAUAGACUUGCUCCUCGAUUUUUUUUCCUGUUUUUAUUUGUUUGCUUUAAAAUGGUUUCAGUUGGGAAAAAGGGUGAAGUAACAACAACGGUCACUGAAUCUGGCCGUGUUCUAAACAGUUUGGCCAGAGGCCGUUUACUUAGAGCCGGAGUACGUGUACCUUAUUAUAUCAAGGGUGAUCCAACAUAUUCGUACACCCGAACGCAAACCGUUAAAGCAGGACAAGUUCGAACAGAGGUAUUGACCGAGGAAAAAUGGAAAGUGACUUAUUGAUAUGGAUGUUACAUUUUUUGGUACACAGACUUGCCAUUCCAAGUAGUUUGUCGCUGAAUAUGGUUUUUCUUCAACACACAAUUGAUUACUAAUAUAUUAUGUCUCAACGAAAAAUUUCGAUUUUAUUUUAAAAUUCUUUCGCUAAUAAAAAAAAUAUGCACAAAUUUAAAUCGAA